rnacentral:piRNA from 1 species
UCAAGUUCUGCCUCAGAGGUGGGCACCGGC